rnacentral:rRNA from 1 species
UACGAAGGGGGCUAGCGUUGCUCGGAAUUACUGGGCGUAAAGCGCACGUAGGCGGCUUCUAAGUCGGGGGUGAAAUCCUGGAGCUCAACUCCAGAACUGCCUUCGAUACUGGAAGCUCGAGUCCGGGAGAGGUGAGUGGAACUGCGAGUGUAGAGGUGAAAUUCGUAGAUAUUCGCAAGAACACCAGUGGCGAAGGCGGCUCCACUGGCCGGUACUGACGCUGAGGUGCGAAAGCGUGGGGAGCAAACAGG